rnacentral:tRNA from 1 species
UGGGGAGUGGUGUAAUUGGCAGCACAGGGGUCUUUGGCACCUCCGGUCGCGGUUCAAGUCCGCGCUCCCCAG